ensembl:snRNA
AAAAAGGGCUUGUGCCGUGUAUGGCACAUUGCGGGUCUCCCUUGUGGAGGACUGCAGUGCGGAAUCGAUAUCAAGAGAUUUCGAAAGCAUAAUUUUUGUAAACUGGGCUGCUAGAGAUCGAUGGUCUGGGCGCCCAA